GCUGUCUUUUUCUUUGUUCUUUGUUCUUUGGCAGCGUGAAGUACACAAAAAGGACCCAACAUCUAGUUCGGAGCAUGAAGGACCCAAAACACCAGAUCCCAAGACAUUGAGAAGACUUGCUCAGAAUAGAGAGGCAGCUCGAAAAAGCUGGCUGAGGAAAAAGGCUUAUGUUUAGCAGCUAGAGUCUAGUAGGAUUAAGCUAACUCAGAUCGAAUAGGAGCUUCAAAGGGC